AUGAGCAUGGGCAUGGACUCCCCGCAGAAGAAGCUUGGCUCCAUAUCCAUGGACGGCGGCAAGACGCCUCCUCUGCUGCUUGAGGUUGCGGCCCAGCUGGCCAAGAAGGCGAUAGCCGCUUCUCCGUUCCCGGAUGCACACCGGCUGGCCAGCGCUUGGGCGUUCGUCAGCGCCAGGUUCUUCCCCGUCUCCAUCGCCUUCGGCUCCCUCAUCGACCUUCUACUCUGCAGCAAGCUGGGGUGGUGCCAUUUUCUGGAGCGCGAGUGGGACCGGCCCAUAGACAGCGCCCUCUGGAUCGGCCUGUGGUGCUGCCCCGCACUCCAGGCGGCCGUGGCGGCGCUCGCUCUGCUGCUCCCGUCCCGCCACCGCCGGAUCCGCCGUGCCCUUGCCUACCUCGCCGUCUCGGUCGCCAUCGUCGGCCAUUCUUUGAUGGCCAGCCUCGUCCCCCUUGUUGUCGCUGCCUACCCAGGGCCAGGGCUAGGAUACCUCCUGCUCAUCGUCUUGUUCGUCUGCGCCGCGGCGGCGCUGGCGCAGAUGCUCCCGUGCCUCUCCCUCCGGAUCCGCCGUGCCCUCGCCCACCUCGCGCUCGCCAUCGUCGGCCUCUGUAUUUUGGCCAGCUUGGCCCUCGCCGUCGACACAGCAUUCCUCAUCCUCUUGAUCGGCUACUCGGCGGUAAUCUUCACCCUCGCGGUGGGUGACCUCCUCAGCUUCCUGGCCCUCCUCCUCGGAGGCGAGGAGGAGUAG
rnacentral:rRNA from 1 species